rnacentral:rRNA from 1 species
UACGUAGGGGGCUAGCGUUGUCCGGAAUCAUUGGGCGUAAAGAGCGUGUAGGCGGCUCGAUAAGUCCGCUGUGAAAGUCCAGGGCUCAACCCUGGGAUGCCGGUGGAUACUGUCGGGCUCGAGUCCGGAAGAGGCGAGUGGAAUUCCUGGUGUAGCGGUGAAAUGCGCAGAUAUCGGGAAGAACACCCGUGGCGAAGGCGGUUCUCUGGGACGGUACUGACGCUGAGACGCGAAAGCGUGGGGAGCGAACAGG